rfam:Meleagris gallopavo isolate NT-WF06-2002-E0010 breed Aviagen turkey brand Nicholas breeding stock chromosome 28, whole genome shotgun sequence.
GUUGGCUAUGGUGAUAUGUGUCCCACCACCUUGGGUGGGAAGAUCGUGGGCACGCUGUGUGCUAUUGCAGGAGUGCUGACCAUCGCCCUGCCCGUCCCCGUCAUCGUCUCAAAC